rnacentral:sRNA from 1 species
CUAAACUCAUCAUUUUUAGGAUGGAAGUUUAUUCUAAAAUUGACAUCAUAUCAUCCAGACUUGAAACAUAUCGACCCAGUGGUUUUAAAACAUUGUCAUGCAGCAGCUGCAACUUACAUACUAGAGGCAGGAAAGCACCGAGCUGACAAGUCAACUCUAAGCACUUAUCUAGAAGACUGUAAAUUUGACAGAGAGCGAAUAGAACUGUUUUGCACGGAAUAUCAGGUAUGAAUGGAG